UGAGGGGUUAAGGCUCCCAGUAGACGACUGGGUUGAUAGGCCAGAUGUGGAAGACCGGUAACGGUUGAAGCUGACUGGUACUAAUAGGCCGAGGGCUUGUCCUCAGUUG
rnacentral:rRNA from 1 species